rnacentral:rRNA from 1 species
UUUAAUAAUUUAAUUUAAUUAAAAAUAUUUAUAAAAUAUAUUUAUUUAAAAUUAUUUAAGUUAUUUAAUUGGGGUGAUUAAAAAAUUUAAUUAACUUUUUUUAAUUAUAAACAUAAAUAAGUGAUUAAUUGAUCCAUUUUUAAUGAUUAAAAGAAAAAA